rnacentral:rRNA from 1 species
UACGUAGGUGGCAAGCGUUGUCCGGAUUUACUGGGCGUAAAGAGCGCGCAGGCGGUCGUUCAAGUCGCGUGUGAAAGCCCCCGGCUCAACUGGGGAGGGUCACGCGAUACUGAUCGACUGGAAGGCAGGAGAGGGUAGUGGAAUUCCUGGUGUAGCGGUGAAAUGCGCAGAUAUCAGGAAGAACACCCGUGGCGAAGGCGGCUCUCUGGGACGGUACUGACGCUGAGACGCGAAAGCGUGGGGAGCGAACAGG